rnacentral:rRNA from 1 species
UCGGGAAUUUUGUGCAAUGGGCGAAAGCCUGACACAGCAACGCCGCGUGAAGGAUGAAGUCCCUCGGGAUGUAAACUUCGUAAGAAUAGGAAGAAUAAAUGACGGUACUAUUUGUAGGGUCCGGCUAACUACGUGCCAGCAGCCGCGGUAAUACGUAGGGACCAAGCGUUGUUCGGAUUUACUGGGCGUAAAGGGUGCGUAGGCGGCAUAUCAAGUCACUUGUGAAAUCUCCGGGCUUAACUCGGAACGGUCAGAUGAUACUGCUUUGCUAGAGUGCAGAAGGGGCAAUCGGAAUUCUUGGUGUAGCGGUGAAAUGCGUAGAUAUCAAGAGGAACACCUGAGGUGAAGACGGGUUGCUGGGCUGACACUGACGCUGAGGCGCGAAAGCCAGGGGAGCAAACGGGAUUAGAUACCCCCGUAGUCCCUGAGCGGGCUGGCAAGGCGCAU